AUUUGAAGGCAGACUGGUUGGUGGUGUGUAACUUAGCGCUGAUGCCAAAGCUGAUUUUUCACACUCAAAGUUUUCUUCUGGAUACUCUUGUUCUUCAUUGACGGAAGAUAUAUGGCGUGUCUGGCUACUACACUGAAGGGAGACUAUGCUGACAGCAAACCACAUCCUCCAUGGGAAUGGUGUGACACAAACCGAACACUGACUGCUGACCAGUGGCAUGCACAGAAAGCAUAUAUCUGGUCUAGGUUGGUGGGUUUUAUUGUCCUCUGGUUAUGCUCAGCUGGAAUACUGUGGAUUGAAUAUCGUGGAG